CCCAGAAGGAUUUAGGAAAAUAAUCACAUGCAAUCAAAUGAUCAUUUAGGGAAAAGAAAAUAGUUUCAAGUUUCUACACAUUUCCCUUGAAGUGUUUUUGGAGUCAUGAUAACUUCAUUUAAGUCAAACAAAAAAAAGAAAAAAAGAAAAAAAAAAGCUUCAUUAAAGCAAAGAGCAAGCUCUUUUUCAGAGUGUUGACAGACUACCACAGAGUCAGACUACAUUUUAAGACAGAAAAAAAAGUCUGAUCAGAAAAAUUAAAGUUUGAAUAAAAACUGGCAGCAAUGUAGCUAUGAAUGGUUUGAGACUUAUUAUAUGGCCCUUAAGAUCCUUGGUAAGUACUGAGUCCUCACUAGUAUCAGUGGGAUUUCUAUAUUCAGAAUAAAUAGAAAACAUAAAUCCUACAACUAGUAACUGUAGGAGUGAAAUGCAUAUGCAUGAAUUAUUUCUUCCCUAGCAGUUAAAUAAUAAAUAAUGCAGAAUUAUUUCAUUAAGUCUAAAGUAAGGGAAAUCUACCAUCCAUUCAAAUGUAUUUCAUCCAAAAGAAAAUAUAAUUUAAACCUACUAAUACCCUCAACAACAGUUUUAUUUUAAAUCUGUCUUGAAAGAAAAUCAUCAUAUGCAAGAUCCAACAAGUUUUGACAAAGCUAAGUAAUUUCUCACUAAUUCUUCCAUCGCUUGAAUAAGACAAAGAAAAAGCUUUGACAGAAAAUGUUUCCAGGACACAAUUGAGAAGCUCUUUACAAAUGCUAUUAGAGAAAUGGAGCACUUCCUACUUAAGGAGCACAAUGCUUAAACAUAAAGCUCACGCAGCUAAACUGAAAAUUAGAGCUAUGAAUUCCCUCCAAGGCAUCACUGUGCGGCUCAGAGCCGUAGCUGUGCCCCUCGGCCGCGCUGCAGCUCCUGGCCCGGCUCGCACGGGUGGCUGCGCCCGGCGCUCGACCCGCGCUGACAUUUCCGUCGAUUCCAGCCGCAGCCGCGGCGCCUCCGGACGGGGCACGGCGCCACCCCCGCCCCGUCCCGCGCAACGCCGGCUCACAGACCUCACUGCGCCCACGGGCUCGGCACAGAUGCACGACGAACCAAAAAUCUGUAUGUAUUUCCUCAGUCCGUGUACUGUUAGGAACUCCUACAUCCUCCUUAAGCACGGCUGAAGGCCACAGCACAUGUUUUCAGCAGCCAAGGAGAGCUCCGACAGCAACACAAUACGAAGUGCUGGUGCAAACAGGAACGCGGGUCGUAAACCCAGCCCACUGCCCCCUCCGAAGUGCAGCAAACACCGACGACAAACAGCGUUCCUUACCUGGCAGUGCCAAAUCCCAACUGGGCUCGGAACCUGGCAACAGCGAGUUCAAAACACACGACCUCUGCCGACCUCACCCACAACAAACCUCCCUCCUGCCCCUACCCGAGAAACAAACACGGAGCAGAACGUAACAAACUGCUUCCAGUGGGGCAGAAAAACUGCGCGUUUGGCUGAGGAUCAUCAGGGGUGGAAAAUGCCUCUGAGAUCAUCCAGUCCAACCACCCCCAACACCACCGUGUCCCUAAACCACUAAACCACAACACCCAGCGCCACAUCCAGGUGCUCCUUGAUCCACUCCAAGGAUGGUGACUCCACCGCCUGCCUCGGCGACCUGUUCCAGUGCCUGACCACCCUAAAAGCGAGGUAUUUUUUUACGUUAUCUAAUCUGAAUCUCCCCUGUCUCAUCUUAAGGCCAUUUCCUCUGUUCCUCUCACUGCAGGCAUGGCACAAGAGUCCGGCCCGCACCUCAUUAGGAUCUCCUUUCAGGGAGAUGCAGAGAACGGAAAAAAAGGAGGACACGAUAACGCUCACAAGCCGCUAAGGCACUGCCCUGGGACCAAAAGCGCUGUAAGGACAAGGCCUGUUUAACGAACAGCUUCGCCCUCACCUUCUGGAAACCGGCAUCACUGUGAGCAAGGAACGGAAACCCGGAUUUUUUUUCUGCCUUGCGGUGAACAGGCGGACUGCGAGCUGGGAUCCGUCCCGCUCGGGGGGGGGGGGGGGGGGGGGGGGGGGGGGGGGGGGGGGGGGGGGGGGGGGGGGGGGGGGGGGGGGGGGGGG
rnacentral:lncRNA from 12 species